rnacentral:misc_RNA from 1 species
GAGUUAUGAUUAUCAUCAGAUGCCUGCUCCAUUCAUUCAGAUCAAAUUAUUGAAAAUUCUGGCAUUACUCGGAAGUGGUGACAAAAAAGCCAGUGAACAAAUGUAUACAAUUGUUGGUGACAUUAUGAGAAAGAGUGAUUCAUCAAGUAAUAUAGGAAACGCUAUUCUGUAUGAGUGCAUAUGCUGUGUCUCCUCAAUACAUCCUAACCCCAAGGUUUUAGAAACUGCAGCAGAAGCAGUUGCCAAAUUUUUGAAGAAUGAUAGCCAUAAUCUAAAGUACUUGGGGAUUGAUGCACUUGGUAGAUUAAUAAAGAUAAGUUCAGAAAUUGCUGAGCCGCACCAACUGGCCGUGAUUGAUUGUUUAGAGGACCCAGAUGAUACACUGAAGCGAAAGACUUUUGAGCUGCUGUAUAAAAUGACAAAGCCAUCGAAUGUAGAAGUUAUUGUUGACCGUAUGAUUGAUUACAUGAUGAGUAUAAGUGAUAACCAUUCUAAAACCGAGAUAGCAUCCAGAUGUGUCGAGCUUGCUGAGCAGUUUGCACCGAGCAAUCAAUGGUUUAUCCAGACCAUGAAUAAAGUGUUUGAGCACGCAGGAGAUCUAGUGAAUUUAAAAGUUGCUCACAACUUGAUGCGGCUGAUUGCUGAGGGAUUUGGAAAAGAAGAUGACACUGCAGAUAGUCAGCUGAGAUUAUCAGCUGUGGAAUCUUAUUUGCGUAUCAUGGGAGAGCCAAAACUUCCCUCUGCAUUUCUUCAGGUUAUUUGCUGGGUCUUGGGGGAGUAUGGUACUGCUGAUGGGAAGUAUUCUGCCUCCUAUAUCACAGGGAAAAUAAGUGAUAUUGCUGAGGCACAUUCAACUGAUGACAUGGUCAAGGCUUAUGCAGUAUCAGCACUUAUGAAAGUAUAUUCAUUUGAAAUAGCAGCUGGGAGGAAAGUGGACAUCUUGCCGGAGUGUCAGUCAUUCAUUGAAGAGUUGUUAGCAUCAAACUCAACAGAUCUACAACAACGAGCAUAUGAACUUCAAUCGGUUAUUGGCUUAGAUGCUCGUGCUGUUGAAAAUAUUAUUCCAAUGGAUGCUAGCUGUGAAGACAUCGUGGUUGAUAGAGAACUAUCGUUUCUCAAUGGUUAUGUUGAAGAGUCACUGAAAAAAGGGGCUCAACCCUAUAUUCCUGAGAGUGAGCGAUCAGGAGCUUUAAGUAUCAGCAGUUUAAGAGUUGAAGAACUACAUGGAUCAUCGGGACAUUCUCUUAGAUUUGAAGCCUAUGAUCUUCCAAAACCUUCUGUACCAUCAAGACCCCCAGUUCCACCAGUAUCCUCAACCGAACUUGUUCCUGUACCAGAACCAACUUAUCACAGAGAGUUUCAUGAGGCUGUUGCACCAAAAUUUUCCGUGUCUGGUACAGGCUCAUCUGAAAUCAAGCUACGACUUGAUGGUGUUCAAAAGAAGUGGGGUAAGCAAACUUAUUCCUCUUCCUCACCAUCUACUACAGACUCUGAUACCUAUAAGACUCAGAAUGGAGCGACCCAGCGUGAUGUAACAAGCAGCUUAAGCUCAAAAACACGUGAUGUAUCUUACGACUCAAGAAGGCAGCAGGAGGAAAUUAAUCCGGAAAAGCAAAAACUUGCUGCAUCCCUCUUUGGUGGUGUAUCAAAAACUGAAAAAAGACCUGCUGCUGGCCACAAGACAUCAAGGCCAAGCAGCCGUGUUGCAGACAAGUCUCAUGCAGAAAAGAGUGGACCUUCCGAUGGAGGUGCUGUGAAAGCAAGUCCCCAACCACCUCCAGACUUGCUCGACAUGGGUGAACCGACUAGUAUUAGUAAUACAACUUUUGAGGAUCCUUUCAAGCAAUUAGAAGGGUUGCUUGAUUUAAAUGAAGGAACUGCAGCUGUAGGUUCCAGUAGUGCUACUAAAGCACCUGAUUUUAUGUCUCUUUAUGGUGACACUUCCUUAAGUGGGCAGAAUAUGGGAAUGACAGAUCUCCUUUCAAC